rnacentral:piRNA from 1 species
UAAAUCUAGCCAGUUCUGGUGUCCUUCACA